rnacentral:rRNA from 1 species
UACGGGGGGGGUAAGCGUUGUUCGGAAUUACUGGGCGUAAAGGGCUCGUAGGUGGCCAACUAAGUCAGACGUGAAAUCCCCAGGCUCAACUUGGGAACUGCGUCUGAUACUGGAUGGCUUGAAUUCGGGAGAGGGAUGCAGAAUUCCAGGUGUAGCGGUGAAAUGCGUAGAUAUCUGGAGGAAUACCGGUGGCGAAGGCGGCAUCCUGGACCGAGAUUGACACUGAUGAGCGAAAGCUAGGGGAGCAAACGGG